rnacentral:rRNA from 1 species
UUGACGGGGCCCGCACAAGCGGCGGAGCGUUGUGGUUUUAAUUCGUUGCUACACGAAGAACCUUACCUGGGUUUGACAUAUAGGUUGUAGGGAACUGAAAAGGGACCGACCCUUCGGGGAGCCUAUACAGGUGUUGCAUGGCUGUCGUCAGCUCGUGUCGUGAGAUGUUCGGUUAAGUCCGCUAACGAGCGCAACCCUCGCUGUGUGUUAUAUGUGUCACACGGGACUGCCGGUUUUAAGCCGGAGGAAGGUGAGGAUGACGUCAAGUCAGCAUGGCCUUUAUAUCUUGGGCUACACACACGCUACAAUGGGCGGAACAAUAGGUUGCCAAACCGCGAGGUGGAGCCAAUCCUUAAAUCCGUCCUCAGUUCAGAUUGCAGGCUGCAACCCGCCUGCAUGAAGAUGGAGUUGCUAGUAAACGCAGGUCAGCUAUACUGCGUUGAAUACGUUCCCGGGCCUU